rnacentral:lncRNA from 1 species
AAAGAACUAUACAAGCUCAGAGACAACAGCAGUCUAGCUAUUAAUGUCCAAAUGUUAGAUGUAAGCAUCCCUGGACCAAAGAGUUGUCAAGGGAAUAAAACGAGCAAGUGGCAAAGUCAGGCCUGAACCAAGUUUCCAGACUCCAGAUGCAGAUUUCUUCCUCCCUCUAUGCCAGCGAGGCAGCCGUAUCCAUGACUUAACUUCCACAUCUCGCCAGCACGUCACCUGUAUAAUCCAGGGCUGUCUACCUAGGAUCACCGGUGUGUUGAACUAAAGAAUCUGAAAAGCCUGAGAUUGUGUUUGCUAGGGUUGGUAUUUAAGCCUGUCUGAAUAUGCCACUUUCUAGCCAA